CCUACGGGCGGCAGCAGUAGGGAAUUUUCGUCAAUGGGCGCAAGCCUGAACGAGCAAUGCCGCGUGAACGAGGAAGGUCUUCGGAUCGUAAAGCUCUGUUGAAGGGGAAAAAGAGCGGAGAGAGGAAAUGGACUCCGAUUGAUAUUACCCUUCGAGGAAGUCACGGCUAACUACGUGCCAGCAGCCGCGGUAAUACGGAGGGUGCGAGCGUUAUCCGGAAUGAUUGGGCGUAAAGGGUGCGUAGGCGGCAUGCUAAGUCUGGAGUGAAAGGUACCGGCGCAACCGGUACAGGCUCUGGAAACGUGCGGGAUAGAGGGGAGUAGAGGGCGGUGGAACUCCAAGUGUAGCGGUAAAAUGCG
rnacentral:rRNA from 1 species